rnacentral:rRNA from 1 species
UACGUAGGGUCCAAGCGUUAUCCGGAAUUACUGGGCGUAAAGCGUGCGCAGGCGGUUUUGUAAGCCAGAUGUGAAAUCCCCGGGCUCAACCUGGGAAUGGCAUUUGGGACUGCAAGGCUGGAGUGCGGCAGAGGAGACUGGAAUUCCUGGUGUAGCAGUGAAAUGCGUAGAUAUCAGGAGGAAUACCGAUGGCGAAGGCAGGUCUCUGGGCUGACACUGACGCUCAUGCACGAAAGCGUGGGGGAGCAAACAGG